AAUAGAUACCCUGGUAGUCCACGCCGUAAACGAUGAGUGCUAAGUGUUAGGGGGUUUCCGCCCCUUAGUGCUGCAGCUAACGCAUUAAGCACUCCGCCUGGGGAGUACGGCCGCAAGGCUGAAACUCAAAGGAAUUGACGGGGGCCCGCACAAGCGGUGGAGCAUGUGGUUUAAUUCGAAGCAACGCGAAGAACCUUACCAGGUCUUGACAUCUCCUGACCGCCCUGGAGACAGGGUCUUCCCUUCGGGGACAGGAUGACAGGUGGUGCAUGGUUGUCGUCAGCUCGUGUCGUGAGAUGUUGGGUUAAGUCCCGCAACGAGCGCAACCCUUGUCCUUAGUUGCCAGCAUUCAGUUGGGCACUCUAAGGAGACUGCCGGCUAAAAGUCGGAGGAAGGUGGGGAUGACGUCAAAUCAUCAUGCCCCUUAUGACCUGGGCUACACACGUGCUACAAUGGGCGGUACGAGAGGGUCGCGAACCCGCGAGGGGGAGCCAAUCCCAAAAAACCGCUCUCAGUUCGGAUUGCAGG
rnacentral:rRNA from 1 species